rnacentral:misc_RNA from 1 species
AAAAGGCAUCAAAACAUGAAACUGUUCUGACCACCUCCUGGGGUUUUAGGUAACUACCUUUAGCUGUUUCUACAAGAAAGAAAACGGAAUGAAAAGCAGUCAUUAUUAGGCCUGUCAAAAAUGGAUGCAGACCUGGCUCUUGCAUUAAAACUCCAAGAGGAGUUUGACAGAGCAGAGAAUGUGGCCUGUGUUGAAAGUGGUCCCCUCUCCUCCACCCCCGGGGCUCCGCUGUCACUUGCCGAUGAGAGCUGGGAGGUGAUGGACCCGAACCCAGACAUCAGGGCUCUUUUCCUACAGUACAAUGACCGCUUCUUCUGGGGCAGGCUGGCAGGAAUCGAGGUCAAAUGGAGUCCUAGGAUGACACUAUGUGCGGGACUUUGUGUGUAUGAGGGGCGUGGAGGGCUUUGCUCAGUACGACUCAGUUUACCACUGUUAAAGCUGAGACCACGGAGAGACCUGGUACAAACACUGCUGAAACUCCCAGGAAUCAAUUUCAAACAGACAUUUUUUGAGGAUGCAGGCCUGAGUUGGUCAAUGGCAAUGGCAUGAAAUGAUCCAUGCAUACCUUUUUGUCACAGACAAUAAUAAAGAUCAUGAUGGACAUGGGCCAGAAUUCCAUAAACACAUGUACCGCAUAAACAAAGAGGCAGGAGUCAAUAUAACUGUAUACCACACAUUCCAUGAUGAAGUCGCCGAAUACAGACAGCACUGGUGGAGAUGCAAUGGACCGUGUCAGAGUCGGAAACCGUACUUUGGUUAUGUGAAGCGAGCCAUGAAUCGAGCCCCAGGACCCCGCGACCCCUGGUUCAGAGAUCAUCAAAACUCAUGUAAUGGAACCUUCAUCAAAGUAAAGGAACCAGAGAACUAUGGGAAGAAAAAGAAAAAAGGGGAAGGAAAAUCAGAAAAAACAAGUUCAAAAGCAGUCGAAAAGAAAAGUCCAAAUAAGGACAUCAGAACAUUCUUUGGAAAAGGACAUGUACUUUCAAGUAGAUCUCCAACGAAAGCCAGCCCACAAAAGGAAGUGACAAAAAAGCCUGAAGUAAAAGGUGUACCCAAAUUUUAUGAUACAGACUCAGAUGAUGAACUAGAUCUAUUGGCAGUUCAUCCACAAAAGAAUCCUGUGGAAACAAAGAACAGUGAUUAUGAUACAAGUUGCGAUGAGAAAGAUCUUCCAGAGGCAAUCUUGAAAGAUUUACUUUCAGAUUCCGAGGAUGAACUGCUGUGUGAUGCUCUAGAUUCACAAGAAAAGCUUUCCUCACCAAGCCCUCCAAAGACCACAAAUAACGAUUUUAGUAUGUCUUUAGGAAGUAAAGCUGUUUUAGAAGAUUCCAAAACAUCUGAUUUGUCUGAUAAAGCAUCUUGUUCUCAGCCAUCUACUUCGAAACAAUCUGAAACACCAAACAACGAUGUUCGAAACAAACUCCGAGAGAUAUGGGGCAAAAAGUACGAAAACCAAUCAAAACAUAAGACCUUUAACAAGACCUCAAUCAAGAGAUCUUUAUCAAAGCCUCAGCCAGCAACGAAAAGGAUAAAGACAGAUGAAACAAUUGAUUUAACAAGCAAUACUGUAUAUCCGAAAAACACCUUAACAAAUGAUGAAAAGUUGCUCAGACAUUCUUCUACAGAAACAAGUUCUGGGGCUGAAAUGACAAAAGAAAAUCCUGUGAAGUCUUCGUUCAAUGUUAUUGAAACGGAUGUUUGUAAAUGUCCAGUGUGUAGCAAGGAUAUUUUGUCCACCCACAUUAAUCAGCAUUUAGACGCUUGUCUUGGUAUUACGUGAAACUACAUGUAUAACAGGAAUUGAUCUGUGGUAUUAUUUGUAUAUAACUUGAGCUUUUGCUUGUGAUAUUAACAGAUUGUCUUCCAAACCUUCUGUGUUCAAGUUAUUCAGUGUUUACUGUGUUUCAUGAUUGUAUACAAGGUACAAAUGGUACUUGCCCGUUAUACUUUUUUUUAACAGGUUAUUUGUUUAAUGAAAUGAAGUUUCAAUC